AAAGGAAAACAAAAAGUAGAAAACAAAACCUUUUGCCAGCUCAAUCAUCAUCAUCCACAGUUUUUUGCUUGACCAAAAAUGUACAGAACGAGGAACAGAGCAUAGAGGGAAAUAAUUCUACAAUUAUUAGGGUUUCUGUGUGGACGAGGAAUCUCAGAAUGCCAACUCCAUGUUGCCAAGGUUUCACCGCAUUCCUUCUGAAAUUCCUCAAUUUCUUACAAGCUUUCAUUGGGGUCUCCAUCAUCAUUUACUCUGCAUAUAUGCUUAACCACUGGCACCACCACCAUCACAACGAUGUUCAUGACGCCCAAUUCCACAAUUUCGUCUCAGUUGACGUUUCAAAUUCUGUCGUCUCGGCUUUACCAGAGUUGAACAAAAAUUCACUUCCAGCUCCCUGGUUUAUAUAUGCCUUCAUGGGAAUUGGUGUUAUCUUAUGUUGUAUCACUUGUAUUGGGCAUGUUGGUGCUGAAGCUGUUAAUGGAUGUUGCCUUUGCUUUUACUCUCUGCUAAUGAUGACUUUAGUACUCCUGGAAAUAAGUCUGGUUGCAUUUGUUGCAAUUGAUCAUCAUUGGGAGAAGGGUCUUCCGACGGACCCAACUGGAGAACUUCACAGCCUCCGCACCUUUAUUCAACAAAAUAUGGAUGUUUGUAAGUGGAUUGGCAUUGUUGUCAUCGUAAUACAGGCAUUCUCCUUGUUUCUCGCAGUUGUUCUCAGAACUUUGGUUAGUAGCCCUAAACUAAAUUAUGAUAUGGAGGGAGAUUAUGAUGUUGUUGGAAGAACAAGGGAGCCACUGCUUGAUCCACGUAUAAGCCAAACAUCUGGGUUGGCUAAAGGUGAUGCAAGAGGUGGCCAUUCUGACAUCUGGAGUUCACGGAUGAGGGAAAAGUGCUGAGUACUUAUGAACUUCAUCUGCUUUUUCUUCUUCAACAAGAUUAUCAUAUGGGGAUAAGGCUGUUUAUUAUCAUUUGGAUGGAGAAGCAAGACAUCAUAUACCAAACCCAAAUCCAUCAUGAGGAUAGUAAGAAACACAGAGGACGUGACGUUGAAUCUCAUGGAUUAGAUAAACUGGCAACAUGGCUGAGUAUGAAGCCUUGUUCAGUGAUUGUGUGUGUACCAUAAACUAUAGACCCUUCGUUUGUUGUCUGUUUAUGUAAGGCAGUGUACAUAUGUCUGCAGAAAGACAUUGCAAAGCUGGCAUGUAGAGAUAUACAUAUCUCGCUUGUUAAUAUAACAUUUCCUUUGUUGAGAAGCACUUUACUAGAGUGCAUUUCUAAGUUUAGUGAAAUUCGAUCUCUCUUUUAAAAUU